CUUUCUAAAAACUCAUCUUCUAAAUAUUGCUCUGCCUUCUCUCUAAAAUACCACCCUGUUGAACCGUUCAAUUUUUGAAUAGAUGGUGCUCAAACGUUCACUGCGUCAAGGGCUCCAUAACGGACCGAACGAGUUCUUGUUCCAAUCGGGUGUCUUUGAAUUUUUCUGUGAAGAGCACUAUUUAGAUCAUCACUGUGAAGUAAACUGUCAAGUUUUCCAGAUGGCAAGGAGGAUACGUUGGAAACCGUACUUGAUGGGGAAGACAAUGCUGCAGCUUAGAUUCGCUAGCUUUUAUUAGUUAGCUUUGAUGAACUUUUGUACGUUUAAAGCUUUAAAUUCUAUGUAAUUUCUAGGGAGAAACCCUACUACUCUAAGUUUUCAAUUCCAUGUUAUUCUAACGAUGAUUGUAAUCCUUAAAUUACUCUUGACUG